AGGGUUUGAUCAUGGCUCAGGAUCAACGCUGGCGGCGUGCCUAACGCAUGCAAGUCGGACGGGCCGGGGGUGACCCUGGUGCCGUGGCGGACGGGUGCGUAACACGUGGGGAACCUGCCCUUGGGUGGGGGGUAGCCCGCGGAAACGCGGGGUAAUUCCGCAUACGCUUCCCUGGCGGUGGGCUAGGGAAGGAAAGCCGGGAACGGCGCCCGAGGAGGGUCCUGCGGCCGAUUAGCUUGUUGGUGGGGUCACGGCCUACCAAGGCGAUGAUCGGUAGCUGGUCUGAGAGGACGGCCAGCCACAGGGGGACUGAGACACGGCCCCCACUCCUACGGGAGGCAGCAGCGAGGGAUUUUCCGCAAUGGGCGCAAGCCUGACGGAGCGACGCCGCGUGGGGGAGGACGCCCUUCGGGGUGUAAACCCCUUUUGGCGGGGAAGAAGGUCUGACGGUACCCGCCGAAGAAGGCCCGGCUAACUACGUGCCAGCAGCCGCGGUAAUACGUAGGGGCCGAGCGUUGUCCGGAGUUACUGGGCGUAAAGCGCGCGUAGGCGGCCUGGGAAGCCUGACGUGAAAGCCCCCGGCUCAACCGGGGAGGGUCGUCGGGGACUUUCAGGCUUGAGGGGGGCAGAGGCCGGUGGAAUGCCCGGUGUAGUGGUGAAAUGCGUAGAGAUCGGGCAGAACACCCGUGGCGAAGGCGGCCGGCUGGGCCGGUCCUGACGCUGAGGCGCGAAGGCGUGGGGAGCGAACGGGAUUAGAUACCCCGGUAGUCCACGCAGUAAACGAUGCGGACUAGGCGUGGGGAGACUUGACCCUCUCCGUGCCGGAGCUAACGCGGGAAGUCCGCCGCCUGGGGAGUACGGCCGCAAGGCUAAAACUCAAAGGAAUUGACGGGGGCCCGCACAAGCGGCGGAGCGUGCG
rnacentral:rRNA from 1 species